rnacentral:rRNA from 1 species
UAGCCUUGACAUAUAUUAGAAUCCGACAGAGAUGUUGGAGUGCCUUCGGGAGCUUUUAUACAGGUGCUGCACGGCUGUCGUCAGCUCGUGUCGUGAGAUGUUGGGUUAAGUCCCGCAACGAGCGCAACCCUCGUCACUAGUUACUAACGGUUCGGCCGAGGACUCUAGUGAGACUGCCUUCGUAAGGAGGAGGAAGGUGAGGACGACGUCAAGUCAUCAUGGCCCUUACGGCUAGGGCAACACACGUGCUACAAUGGCCAGGACAGUGAGAAGCGAUACCGCGAGGUGGAGCAAAUCUAUAAACCUGGUCUCAGUUCGGAUUGUAGUCUGCAACUCGACUACAUGAAGCUGGAAUCACUAGUAAUCGUAGAUCAGCUAUGCUACGGUGAAUACGUUCCCGGGUCU